GACGAACGCUGGCGGCGUGCUUAACACAUGCAAGUCGAACGAAGUGGCGAACGGGUGAGUAACGCGUAAUCAACCUGCCCAUCAGAGGGGGACAACAGUUGGAAACGACUGCUAAUACCGCAUACGGAAGGAGGGGUUUGCGGCGGAUUAGCUAGGUGGGGGGGUAACGGCCCACCAAGGUGAUGAUAAGUAGGCGGUCUGAGAGGAUGAACGUCCACAUUGGGACUGAGCAAAGGCCCCAACUCCUACGGGAGGCAGCAGUGGGGAAUCUUCCGCAAUGGACGAAAGUCUGACGGAGCAACGCCGCGGGAGUGAUGACGGCCUUCGGGUUGUAAAGCUCUGUUAAUCGGGACGCGGUACCGGAAUAGAAAGCCACGGCUAACUACGUGCCAGCAGCCGCGGUAAUUC
rnacentral:rRNA from 1 species